rnacentral:rRNA from 1 species
GACGAACGCUGGCGGCGUGCUUAACACAUGCAAGUCGAACGAGUGGCGAACGGGUGAGUAAUACGUGAGUAACCUGCCCUCUUUUUGGGAUAAGCCUUGGAAACGGGGUCUAAUACCGGAUAAAGGGUGAUGGGCUCGCUGCCUAUCAGCUUGUUGGUGGGGUGAAGGCCUACCAAGGCGGUGACGGGUAGCCGGCCUUAGAGGGUGACUGGCAGCCUUAGGACUGAGAGACGGCCCGGGCUCCUACAGGAAGCAGCAGUGGGGGAUAGUGCGCAAGUGUCGAAAGGCAGAUGCGGCGAAGCCGCGAGGGGGAUGGAGGCGUAGGGGUUGGAAACGUCUUUCGCAAUCGAAAGGGUAGGUGGAGAGAAAGCGACGGCUAACUACGUGCCAGCAGCCGAGGUAAUAC